UUAUUACUCCUCGGGAGAAGGUGAGAAGCUUCGACCAAGGUUCGAGCCGAGCAACGCGAGACAACGUUGCUAUCAGCAACGGCCCAUAGGGCGAAUCACAACGUGAUGAGUCAUCCUUCUCCCACCACCA
rfam:Pragia fontium strain 24613, complete genome.